CAUCGGGGUCACCCUGCUUUUCUAAUGGUCGAAUUUUAUUUUUAUUCUUCUUUAUGAAAAAUAUUUAUAAUUUAAUCCUUUUAUUUUAAUUUGACAUAAUUUAAACCUUAUUUACGGUAUUAAAUCAAAAGAAAUAAUAGUUGAUUUAACCAUUUAUGUUUCAUUUUUUUCUGAAGUGAUUCGUACGGUACUGUUUUUCACUUAAUUACGUGGAAAAAAAGGCAUUCAUUGGCGAGCUUGAUAAUCGAUAUGUUUCUACAGGGUUACGGAGUGAAUAGGGGGCAACACGAGUGUGGCUUUUCCGAUAAUCGAUAGUUGCAAAGACUCGCUGCCUUCGGAAGUCGAUGCAGUGUCGAUUAACUUGGGAAUGUUCUACGACCUGGUCGGAUGGUUUGCUUUAGGUGCUAAGACACGGGAUGCCAGUAUACCUGAAUGUGAGGGAGCUGCAACUGCAAAGUCUCCAUGGAAUGCUCCUGGGCUCUUUGAUCUUUCAGUUCCUGACUCUUUUUCGAUGAACCUCGUUCAAAAGAGGGAACAGAAAACAGGUCUUUGACAGAUUAUAACGGCCGUGGUUUGCAUGUCGAGAAAGCAAGUCAUGAAUGAACUCGAAGGACUGAAGAGAUCAUAUUAUAUGGAUCCACAGACACUGAACCGUUUCAAGUGGCACUAUUACGAAUAUGAAAUCAACAAAUGUGAUGCUUGUGCCUUGUAUAGGUUGGAAUCGAAGCUUGUUGAUGGUAAGAAAAGCGCAAAGGGGAUACCAGCGAAUUGGGAAAACUCACGGUGGAGUUCCCAUGCAAUAACAAGUGCGGCGUCACAGGAAGGGCUGAGAUUAGUAUGAAGGUUGGUGUUGGAAAUCCUUAUUCCACUCCGAAUGUGGUGGCACCACCGACUGAGAAGUUCGAUUGCAGGCUUGGUAAACAGUACGACUAUCCAGUCAACACUGUAAGCAGUUAUCAUCUAACAUAACCGAAGGAAUUAGGAUAAAAUCCAAAGUAGCUGAAUCUAUUCAUCUAGUUCUAUAUAUGCUCUAGCAUUUUAACUAAUAGAAGUGGGAGCUUCUGCAUGCUCA